UUAACCGAAACCAAAAAAGAGGUAUAUUAUUGUUAAUAAUAAAAUUGAAUCAUAAUUCCGGUUAAG
rnacentral:tRNA from 1 species